UACGUAGGUGGCAAGCGUUAUCCGGAUUUACUGGGUGUAAAGGGAACGCAGGCGGUCUUUUAAGUCUGAUGUGAAAGCCUUCGGCUUAACCGGAGUAGUGCAUUGGAAACUGGGAGACUUGAGUGCAGAAGAGGAGAGUGGAACUCCAUGUGUAGCGGUGAAAUGCGUAGAUAUAUGGAAGAACACCAGUGGCGAAAGCGGCUCUCUGGUCUGUAACUGACGCUGAGGUUCGAAAGCGUGGGUAGCAAACAGG
rnacentral:rRNA from 1 species